CGACAUUUUAGACUUUUACGCACAUGCUGGUUUGGACUUAAGUUUUUAUUGGGCUAUAAUUAGUUUAUUAACAACUUAAUAACCCUGUCACUUUUUCUGUUUUAUAUAAGUAUUAAUAUCAGGCCCAACCCAAACCUAAUCGGAAACAAAUCUGUGAUACUCGGAGGUCGGAGGCUAACAACGCUCUGCGACAUAACAACCGUACCGCUUCACCUCCACUUUGGGGCGCAAGAGUAAGGUUCUGUAGUUAUUACAUUCAAUCGAGUAAACCCACUACAUCCUCUUCAAUGCAUCUUUGCUAUUUUCUGUACCUCUCUCAAUGAUUAUUUAUAUACGGGCUGAGAUCUCUUUCCAAAUCCCUUCAUACCUAUGACCUCAUAGAUCCCAAAAUUUCUCCCUCAAACCCUCUGGUAAUGUCUAACUCCCAAUUUGAUACCCCUUUAGCUGAAGGCUGGUUGUUGUAGGGAGAGUGUUGUGACAAGACUGCUUCGUUUACGGGAGGGACGCAAUGUUAAGAGAGUGGAGAGCUGGUAGUUUUGAUACGGUUCUGGUUGAUGGAAAGAUAGGAACUCUGGAGCCUUAAACGAUCGUAACAGCUCAUAGAAAGCAGCUUCACCAGACGCAAACUAUCUAUGAGUGAAGUGCUUACGAAUAUGAGCCUAACAUUCUUCCUCUCUUGAAGUUAGAGGUGGCCCAUAAGUAAAAAAUGGGAAUUCAUUCAUCAAUACAUUUCAGAUGAGUUUCGACAAGGUAUUAUUGGUCAUACAUAUGAAUUAUAUAAUGUAAAAUUUUACUUUUUCCUCAUUAAAACAUGGAUUUAUUUGGGAACCUAUGGUAUCACCCAGUAGUAAGCAAGUGAAAUAAAUUUGUUUUGUUCCUAUUCUUUGGGAUCUUAUUAGAUGAGAAUCUCAUCCUCUCAUUAAACCUUUUUUUAUCCACAUGUCCCCAACUAUAUUCAUCAAAUGAAGCUUGCAAGGAGAGCAUGUAACAUUAUCUCCUCCGUUUUCAUUCAACGCAGUAGCAUCUACAUUUCGACCCUCUUGAGCAACGAAAAGGUACAUACUCAUAUUUACAUACCUGUCAUACAUCACAAGUCCACAACUCUUAUAUGGAGAAUUAGCAAAAUGUGUAUCCAGUUUGCUUGGGGUGAGAACAAAUCCUAGAGAUAUGCAUCCACAAGACGAGGCAAAAAACGCUAUGGAUGCAUUCUCUAAAGCCUCUUACUUUGGUUAAACGGUUAGAAAUAGCUAAAGAUGCAGCCAGAGGUCUUGUGAACCUUAGUACAAAACAAAGUGUUACAAUCUAUGUUCCUACCAUUUUGAGGUAUCUGAUUUUGUUGGUUUAUGAUUGUUUUGUGUAGGAUUCGAGUAUCUUCACACCUGGUAUGUUCAAGCAGUCACACAAGUAAAAUAUUACUUGAUAAACACAUGAGGGUUAAUGUUUCAGAUUUCGGUUUGUCUAAGCUGGCAGUUAACGGAACUUCACAUGUCUUAGUGUUGUAUGUGUCACAAUUGGAUAUCUCUCGAGCCGAGUAAGCUAGACGCACAAUGUUUAUUUUUGACACUAACAUAAUGUUUUCUUUUUUAAGUUCUUGACACAAAAAAAGUUCCUACCAUGUUUCACACA